rnacentral:rRNA from 1 species
UACGUAGGGGGCAAGCGUUGUCCGGAAUCAUUGGGCGUAAAGAGCGUGUAGGCGGUCCGGUCAGUCGGCUGUGAAAGUCAAGGGCUCAACCCUUGAAAGCCGGCCGAUACUGUCGGACUAGAGUCCGGAAGAGGCGAGUGGAAUUCCCGGUGUAGCGGUGAAAUGCGCAGAUAUCGGGAGGAACACCAAUGGCGAAGGCAGCUCGCUGGGACGGUACUGACGCUGAGACGCGAAAGCGUGGGGAGCGAACAGG